CUGCUGAAGAGUCCCACAAUAGGACGAAACGGCCGUCAGGCAG
rnacentral:hammerhead_ribozyme from 1 species